rnacentral:rRNA from 1 species
AGUGAACGCUGGCGGUAGGCCUAACACAUGCAAGUCGAACGGCAGCACAGAGGAGCUUGCUCCUUGGGUGGCGAGUGGCGGACGGGUGAGGAAUACAUCGGAAUCUACUCUGUCGUGGGGGAUAACGUAGGGAAACUUACGCUAAUACCGCAUACGACCUACGGGUGAAAGCAGGGGACCUUCGGGCCUUGCGCGAUUGAAUGAGCCGGUGUCGGAUUAGCUAGUUGGCGGGGUAAAGGCCCACCAAGGCGACGAUCCGUAGCUGGUCUGAGAGGAUGAUCAGCCACACUGGAACUGAGACACGGACCAGACUCCUACGGGAGGCAGCAGUGGGGAAUAUUGGACAAUGGGCGCAAGCCUGAUCCAGCCAUACCGCGUGGGUGAAGAAGGCCUUCGGGUUGUAAAGCCCUUUUGUUGGGAAAGAAAUCCAGCUGGCUAAUACCCGGUUGGGAUGACGGUACCCAAAGAAUAAGCACCGGCUAACUUCGUGCCAGCCGCCGCGGUAA